rnacentral:rRNA from 1 species
CGGUGUUUAACUGGCGUGAUGUGGGACGUCCUACCGGUGGGCUUAGCCUCGCGAGGGGCGGCCCAACUAAUAUCCCGUCGCGGUGCUCUUUACUGAGUGUCGAGUCGGGCCGGUACGUUUACUUUGAACAAAUUAGAGUGCUUAAAGCAGGCUAUCCUCGCCUGAAUACUGCGUGCAUGGAAUAAUGGAAUAGGACCUCGGUUCCAUUUUGUUGGUUUUCGGAACCCCGAGGUAAUGAUUAAUAGGGACAGAUGGGGGCAUUCGUAUUGCGACGUUAGAGGUGAAAUUCUUGGAUCGUCGCAAGACGGACAGAAGCGAAAGCAUUUGCCAAAAAUGUUUUCAUUAAUCAAGAACGAAAGUUAGAGGUUCGAAGGCGAUCAGAUACCGCCCUAGUUCUAACCAUAAACGAUGCCAGCUAGCGAUCCGCCGAAGUUCCUCCGAUGACUCGGCGGGCAGCUUCCGGGAAACCAAAGCUUUUGGGUUCCGGGGGAAGUAUGGUUGCAAAGCUGAAACUUAAAGGAAUUGACGGAAGGGCACCACCAGGAGUGGAGCCUGCGGCUUAAUUUGACUCAACACGGGAAACCUCACCAGGCCCAGACACCGGAAGGAUUGACAGAUUGAUAGCUCUUUCUUGAUUCGGUGGGUGGUGGUGCAUGGCCGUUCUUAGUUGGUGGAGCGAUUUGUCUGGUUAAUUCCGAUAACGAACGAGACUCUAGCCUGCUAAAUAGGCGUACCUUAUGGUAUCGCGAAGGCCCCCGGCUUCGGCCGGUGGGUUUUUACUACCAACGUACAAACAAAUCUUCUAGAGGGACAGGCGG